UGAGAAAAACGUGAUUAGCUCUAGAUCAGGAGUCGCUUUUGCGGCGAUGACGGAAAGUCAUGUAUUAUCUGAUGA
rnacentral:snoRNA from 1 species